UGCCAGACUCCUACGGGAGGCAGCAGUGAGGAAUAUUGGUCAAUGGGCUUACGCCUGAACUAGCCAAGUCGCGUGAGGGAAGACUGCCCUAUGGGUUGUAAACCUCUUUUGUCAGGGAGCAAUUGGCGCUACGUGUAGCGUUAUCGAGAGUACCCGAAGAAAAAGCAUCGGCUAACUCCGUGCCAGCAGCCGCGGUAAUACGGAGGAUGCGAGCGUUAUCCGGAUUUAUUGGGUUUAAAGGGUGCGCAGGCGGAAGAUCAAGUCAGCGGUAAAAUUGAGAGGCUCAACCUCUGCGAGCCGUUGAAACUGGUUUUCUUGAGUGAGUGAGAAGUAUGCGGAAUGCGUGGUGUAGCGGUGAAAUGCAUAGAUAUCACGCAGAACUCCGAUUGCGAGGGCAGCAUACCGGCGCUCAACUGACGCUCAUGCACGAAAGUGUGGGUAUCGAACAGGAUUAGAUACCCUCGUAC
rnacentral:rRNA from 1 species